GUUUUUCCUUGGAUAGGUUUUAACAAGAUAGAACUCUAGAUCCCUUGGGUCCAAAGACGCUAGAUUAUAAAAUCCUGAUGUGACUUGAUACUGCAAAUAGAAUAUGUCUUACGAUUUAAUACUACAAAUAAAAUGUCUUUUAAGUACAAACUUCAAUGAAUUGAUAAAGUGUAAGGAUAGUGUUUAAAGUCGCUUCAUGUGUAGAAGCUGAAUUACUUUUUUAAACUGAAUUACAGUUUAUACACUGUAUAUUGUCGAGAUCACAUGUUGAUAUGACUUAAUACCAGCAACUUGCAAUAAGUGGUCUGUUCUGCUUGUUUAUAUUAAUACUUUAGAGUUUGGACAUUAGAACAUUGUAAUUGCCUGACAGAGACUGUUAGGGCCUGUUUGUAUGGAAGCCGGGCUGGCCCGCUUAGCAAGAC
rnacentral:lncRNA from 1 species